GUCGUAACAAGGUUUCCGUAGGUGAACCUGCGGAAGGAUCAUUACCACACCUAAAGUCCUUCGGCCUCGGCUGAAGGCAAACUCAAAAGGAUAGCUUGAGCUGGUAAAACAGUUUUGGCUUGACUUUUGCGUCCCGCGGACCUUUUAAAUACUUAUGGCGACUUCGGUUGCCCAACGUUAAAACCCCGUUUUGUGACUGCCCUAACCGGUGUCAUAAAAUAUGAACCAUGAAUCUCUUACUCUGGAAUAACCGUAGGCUUCGGUCUAGCAGGUACUCUGGCUAAAGAACAAUGUCAAAACACUUUCAGCAAUGGAUGUCUUGGCUCCCA
rnacentral:misc_RNA from 1 species